CUUCCCUACUUUUAGGUCUUUACCUGGAAUACUCUCUUAUUAAAAUUUUGUCUGUCUUUUAAGGCUCAGCUCAAGAACCACCCCCUCUAAGUUGCCUUCCUGGAUUUAUUCAGCCCAAAGUUAUCCUUAUCUUCCCUGGGAUCCCUCAAGACUUCAUUAUGGAUUUUGUCUCUGGGAACACAGACUGUGCUUUUCAAGAUGAUUCUCUCCAUAUCAUUGUGUUAGUUCCUCCCCCAGGGGUCAGCAGCCUAGAAAUAGAAACAGCAGUGGUGGCUGAUUGUAUUAAUCCGGAUUUGGAAGUUGUGUGGCAGUUAAGGCCGAAGGAUAAGGUGAAGAAUGGUAUUGAUGGUAAUGCUGAGAAGUACUUGAAGUGAGUUAUCAACCCUGGUGCAUAUCAAUCCUGCAUAAGUGACAGUGACAAGGA